CGAAGGUGGCAAGCGUUGUUCGGAUUACUGGGCGUACAGGGAGCGUAGACGGUUGGAUAAGCCCUCCGUGAAAUCUCCAGGCUUAACCUGGAAAGUGCAGAGGGGACUGUUCAGCUAGAGGAUGGGAGAGGAGCGCGGAAUUCCCGGUGUAGCGGUGAAAUGCGUAGAGAUCGGGAGGAAGGCCGGUGGCGAAGGCGGCGCUCUGGAACAUUUCUGACGCUGAGGCUCGAAAGCGUGGGGAGCAAACAGGAUUAGAUACCCUGGUAGUCCACGCCUUAAACGAUGGAUACUAAGUGUCGGCGGGUUACCGCCGGUGCCGCAGCUAACGCAGUAAGUAUCCCGCCUGGGAAGUACGGCCGCAAGGUUG
rnacentral:rRNA from 1 species